rnacentral:rRNA from 1 species
AAAAAAGAAAAAGAAAAAAAAAAAGAAAAGAGAAAAGGGCGAAAAAAAAAAAGAAUAGGGGAAGAAAAAAAGGCCGGGUGCAAAGCGAAAAAGAAAGAACGAGGACCGCGCUUUUGAUAGGAUACAGACGUAAUGGUGGACAGCGACCCGUCUUGAAACACGGACCAAGGAGUCGACCGGCGACACGAGUGUUCGGGCGUCAAACCCGGGCGCGCAAUGAAAGUGAACGGAGGUGGGAGCCCCCGGGCGCACCAUCGACCGAUCCUGAUGUCUUCGGAUGGAUUUGAGUACGAGCGCCGCCGGUCGGACCCGAAAGAUGGUGAGCUAUACGUGGAUAGGGUGAAGCCAGAGGAAACUCUGGUGGAGGCUCGCAGCGGUUCUGACGUGCAAAUCGAUCGUCAAAUCUGCGUAUAGGGGCGAAAGACUAAUCGAACCAUCUAGUAGCUGGUUCCUGUCGAAGUUUCCCUCAGGAUAGCAGCAACGAAAACAGUCUCAUGAGGUAGAGCGAACGAUUAGAGGCCUUGGGGCAGAAACUGCCUUAACCUAUUCUCGAACUUCGAAUAUGUGAGAAGUCCCUGUUACUUGAUGAACGGGGACACUGGAUGUCGUCUUCAAAAAAAAAAAAAAAAAC